AACUAGCAGCUUACCUGAUUAACGAAUCAGCAACUUGCCUGACUGUAAAGAUAAAGAGACCUACAAACAGUCUGAAGUCCAUUAAUAUCUGAUUACUUGUAAAAUUUACGGGAUGGCAGCCCCGAACCUUAAGAAUAAGAAACUUGACCAAAAGGUGGCGAUAAUCACAGGAAAAGAAUUAUGGUUGAUAACUUCCAAGUGGUAGGGAAGAAAACUGUGCGAAGUAGAAAGGUGUAGAAUAAUGCCAAUAGGGUAAUAAACUGAGCAGGUGAAUUAGAGAGAUGGGAAUAGGUGAGACCAUAUGGAUUGAGGGCUGAGUUGCGACGAU